GCCUGAUGUGGUGGUGCACACCUGUAAUCCCAGUGUCUUGGGAGGCUGAGGUAGGAGGAUCACAGGUUCAAGGCCAGUCUGGGCAUUUUAGUAAGAUCCUGUCUCAA
rnacentral:sRNA from 1 species